rnacentral:rRNA from 1 species
UUGAAAGGGAAACGAUUGAAGUCAGUCGUACCUGUGGGUAAUCAGCCUUUUGGGUGUGAUUUUGUGGAGUGUGAGGAGUUAAACGCCUUCAUGCCUGCAUAUUCGUGCACUUUGGGUGUAUUUACCCGUGUGGUAAGUUAACAUCAAUUUCGGUGGUCAUAAAAUGGCUGGAGGAAUGUAGCUUCGAUCUUGUAUUGAAGUGUUAUAGCCUUCGGUAGAUGUGAUAAUCGGGAUUGAGGAUUGCAACGGAUACCCCUCGGGGCUACCUGUCUGAUCUCUGAUCGUUGCUCUGGUGCCGAAAGCUUGCUUACGGUUUUCAAAGUCGAUGGUCAAUAGGUUAGAACGGGUUAAAUUCGUUAAGGAUGUUGACGUA